UACAGAGGUCCCGAGCGUUGUUCGGAUUCAUUGGGCGUAAAGCGCGCGUAGGCGGAUCUGCAAGUCGGGGGUGAAAUCCCGAGGCUCAACCUCGGAACUGCCUUCGAUACUGCGGGUCUCGAGUCCGGGAGAGGUGAGUGGAAUUCCUAGUGUAGAGGUGAAAUUCGUAGAUAUUAGGAAGAACACCAGUGGCGAAGGCGGACUCACUGGCCCGGUACUGACGCUGAGGCGCGAAAGCGUGGGAGCAACAGGGAGUUAAGAA
rnacentral:rRNA from 1 species